rnacentral:rRNA from 1 species
GACGAACGCUGGCGGCGUGCCUAAUACAUGCAAGUAGGACGCUGAAGAGAGGAGCUUGCUCUUCUUGGAUGAGUUGCGAACGGGUGAGUAACGCGUAGGUAACCUGCCUUGUAGCGGGGGAUAACUAUUGGAAACGAUAGCUAAUACCGCAUAACAAUGGAUGACACAUGUCAUUUAUUUGAAAGGGGCAAUUGCUCCACUACAAGAUGGACCUGCGUUGUAUUAGCUAGUAGGUGAGGUAAUGGCUCACCUAGGCGACGAUACAUAGCCGACCUGAGAGGGUGAUCGGCCACACUGGGACUGAGACACGGCCCAGACUCCUACGGGAGGCAGCAGUAGGGAAUCUUCGGCAAUGGGGGCAACCCUGACCGAGCAACGCCGCGUGAGGGAAGAAGGGUUUCGGAUCGUAAAGCUCUGUUGUAAGUCAAGAACGGGUGUGAGAGUGGAAAGUUCACACUGUGACGGUAGCUUACCAGAAAGGGACGGCUAACUACGUG